rnacentral:lncRNA from 1 species
GAAUUUUCCUCAAAGCUUCAUUGUCUAAACUCUGAACCUCAUCAUAACCUCAGUUCUGCCUAGCUCCAUAACUAGUAGGUUUCACAAUUUGAUGUCCUCUUGCUGUGCUGACCCACUUGGAACUGGCCAUUCAGCAAGAUCCUAGAAUCUGGGGAUCAGAGACUACAACCCGGAAGGGACCAGGCUCAGAGCCCUGUGGGGUACUAGGCAGGAGGCUCUGACAUUCUGCCACCAACACACAGGAAGCAAACAGGUUUUUUUCUACUGGUGUUGGUGUACUUUGUGCUCAGAGAAUAGAAUAUCCCAGGGGAGUGUCAAACCAUGAGAAAAGGAAAGGUUACCAAGCAACGGCUUCAGGCAAAUCACCUCAGAUCUGCUCUCCAUUCCCCCAGGGUUGUGGGGGUCCGAAGCACAAGCAGAUGUCUGGAGGGAGCUAUUACUCACAUCCUCCCCUUCUUAAUUUCCCCUUCUUAAUUUCGCUCGGUGGCAGUAGCAGCAGUCACAGACCAAUCUCUAUCACUUCAGGAAAGAAGGGGGCAGAAACAGAUGCGUAGAGCAGCUUCUGAAGAUCAGCAGGCCUGUGCAGCAUCAUCUGAGGGUCCCCAGAAUUAAAGCAACAUGAAACCCUUCAUACUGAGUGUGGCCACUUCCCACUGACCAUGACUCACAAAUGGUGAGGCCACCUGACAGCGUUGAAGAUAAUUACUAUUCAUCCUCUUCUGCUAAUAGAAACUAUUUUCUCCCCUAAUCUAGGUUUCCAAUUUUAGAAGCUGCCCUGUCCUCAUAAAAGAAUUACCAGGAAGGUAGGAGGUUUGUUUGUUUGCUUUUCUGUGCAUCUAAGUACCCUGACAAUCUAAUCUCUGGAGAGUCUCAGUAACCAGGCAACACAAGUCAUGCUCCAAUUGUGCGGUCCUCAAUCCACUUUUCCUGUGCUAUUCCAGUUCAAAGUAAGAAUACCAAAGCCAGAACUGCAGAAGAUAAAUGUGGAUCUUUAUUACUACAAGCAGAUAACGGGGUCUGCCCCCUCUUCUUAUUGCUGAGUAGAAAUUCUGAGGCAAGUGCUUUUAAAAAGACUAGAACAGCACAUUUUACCUAAGAAUAAGAUUAUAGCUAGUAACCUGUUUUUCUUACAAAAAAAGAAAAUGGAAGGAGAUAGCUUUUGUCUGGUGACAGUUUAUUUUAACCCAGAUGCUUCCUCCACUUGUAAUUUGGCCUCAUUUGUGUUUUCAGAAACAUCACCAAUUCAGACGGGUUUCUUGGGUAAGGACUUAAUGGACAAGGUUAAACACAGCUGUUCUGGUGCCUGAAAUCCUUAAGAGUCUAGCAGGACCGGAGCAAGUAAAAUAAACUCAGAAAGAGCUGUCUGGAUCAGUGUUUCUAGAGACAAAAUGAGUAUAAAUGAGCAUGGAGUCAACAGGCCUCCUGGGUCAAGGUCAGAGGCAACCUGGGGACACGGAUUAACAGCGGAAGAACACUGCCUAUAGUACAUUUGCUAUGAGACAGCACAGAAUUGGACAUUCUGGCCUUUAAUCAUCAGGCUAUCACAAGGAAAAGUGGUCCAGAUUUAGUACUGUGUCAGCACUUUUUAUAAUAAAUGCUUCAUUUACUAGGAAUUUAGCUAUCGAGUUGCAGAUGAUAAAAAUGACACUCAAAUGCAAGGUCAAACAGCAAACAUUUAUAAUUCCUGUCUAUUAGCUAAAUACACAGUCCUAAUUAUCCAGGUGAAAGGGGUAAUUGUUUUCCCAAACAGUGCCUCAAUCUCCAGUGAUUUACAAAGCACUUUUACACACAUCAUCUCGUCACAGUGGUGUGUAUGCCCUUGUUACACAGAUGGAUUGAACUGGAAAUUGUUUCAUUUGCCAGUUUUAAGUAUCUUCCUUUUCCCUGUGGGUGGUUUCUGUAAGGCCUGAUGGACAUAUUAUCAUCUGGAUCUUCCAGGCAAUGACACCUCUAAAGAGGCCGAUGAACUAGAACUAUCAGUUCUAACACCUUAGGCAAGAAUCCCUCAAUCUCUCUGGGUUUCAGCUUCUUCAUGUGUAUACUGUAGAUAUGUUGUCAAAAUUGUGCUAAUCUUCACCAACUAAUAAGAAAUGAUAAGAAUGAGAUUUUGUGGAUAUGGGACUUUAAUAUACAGUGAGAGGAAUAUAAAUCAGCAUGACUUUUUGCUGGUGUUAUGUAAUAAAAUGUAAAACGUACAUACCAUUUCAUGCAGAAAAUUUAUAUCCAAGAAUCUAUCCCAAUGAGGUAGUUACAUAAAUAUGCAAGUAUACACAAGAUGUUCAUCACAAUUAGAAACAACCAAAAUGUCCACCAACAUGAGACUAGUUCAAAAAGAUACGAGGUAUUCAUACAAGAGACUUUAUGCAUCCACUGAAAAGAAUCAUGUAAUUCAUAUUGGUUGACUCAAAUAGAAGCUCCAUCACAUAUUUUCAAGACAAAAGGAAUUACAAAGCAGUAUGGUUGAUAUAAUCCCAUUUAUGUGCAAAUCAAAUAAAUUCCAGAUUUCACUGUGGUUCAAUUCAGCCCAGUGUCACAUUCACAGAAACAACCCAGCAACAAAAAGGCAUUACAGAGUAAUUUCAGCCUUGGCUCUCCAUUUUCAGAAAACAUUAAAGAACCUACAAUUCCUAACCCACAGCACCACAUCUUAAAAUAGUCUCUGUAUCCCACCUUUUUCAUCUUGUUCUCUAAUUCUCACACUGUAAUAGCUCCUGAAGGCUUUCUCCUCCCCAAUAUGCUUUUCUACUCUCAACCAAAGACAUCACAAUGAUACUCAAACAGAUCAGCCACUUCUCUUUUGUCCCUCUUCCUUCUUCCUUUGUUUUUUUUCUUCACUGAUUACCAUACUCCGAAAAAUAAGGUGGAGAAAGAAGAAAAUGCUAAGUGGACAAAAUUUCCUUUCCAGAGAGUAGGAGAAAAAGAGAUUGACUAUGCAUAUACUACAAUGUCUUAACCUUGUAGCAAGCGCAAAAUUAUUUAAGUGAUAUCUACUGCAUAUAUGCCUAGAAGUGUCUGCAAGGAUGUUGACAAAAUUCUUAAGAAUAAUUAUCUCAGUUGGGAUUUCCCUGUGAACUUUGCUUUUAAUUUUAUAUCUCUCCUUAUACCUCUUUGAGUAACUCAUGAUGAACAUGUUUUGUUUGUGAUCAAAACCACGAAAUAAACUCAUGUCAACAUGUAAAAAAAGAGGUUGUAAUGAUGCUCACAAGAAACAAUAGACAUGAAAAAAUACACAAUUUAAGUACAAAGUAUAAGCAUUUUAAAUAAAUACGAUUGGACUGUCUCUUCCAGUUUCCAACAUUAAUAAGCUCCAUUAUUUUGGAAUUAUUUUAAUUACUCCUACAUGUUAGAGUUGGUUAAUU